UUCGAUCAUGGCUCAGAUUGAACGCUGGCGGGAUGCUACAUGCAAGUCGAACGGCAGCACGGACUUCGGUCUGGUGGCGAAGAGCCGAACGGGUGAGGUAUCGGAACGUGCCUAGUAGCGGGGGAUAACUACGCGAAAGCGUAGCUGGCCUGCAUACGCCCUUCGGGGAAAGCCGGGGACAACUUCGGGCCUCGCACUAUUGACGGCCGAUAUCGGAUUAGCUAGUUGGUGGGGUAACGGCUCACCAAGGCGACGAUCCGUAGCUGGUUUGAGAGAGGACGACCAGCCACACUGGGACUGAGACACGGCCCAGACUCCUACGAGAGGCAGCAGUGGGGAAUUUUGGACAAUGGGGAAACCUGAUCCAGCCAUCCCGCGUGUGCGAUGAAGGCCUUCGGGUUGUAAAGCACUUUUGGCAGGAAAGAAACGGCGGGAUAUUACCCCGUGCAACUGACGGUACCGCAGAAUAAGCACCGGCUAACUACGUGCCAGCAGCCGCGGUAAUACGUAGGGUGCAAGCGUUAAUCAGAUUACUGGGCGUAAAGCGUGCGCAGGCAGUUCGGAAGAAAAGAUGUGAAAUCCCAGAGCUUAACUUUGGAACUGCAUUUUAACUACCGAGCUAGAGUGUGUCCAGAGGGAGGCGGAAUUCCGCGUGUAGCAGUGAAAUGUAAUGCGUAGAUAUGCGGAGGAACACCGAUGCUUGAAGGCAACCUCCUGAGAUAAACACUGACUCAUGCACGAAAGCGUGGGAGGCGACAGGAUUAGAUACCCUGGUAGUCCACGCCCUAAACGAUGUCAACUAGCUGUUGGGGCCUUCGGGCCUUGGUAGCGCAACUAACGCGUGAAGUUGACCGCACCGGAGUACGGUCGCAAGAUUAAAACUCAAAGGAAUUGACGGGGACCCGCACAAGCGGUGGAUGAUGUGGAUUAAUUCGAUGCAACGCGAAAAACCUUACCUACCAUGACAUGUCUGGAAUCCCGAAGAGAUUUGGGAAUUACUCGCAAGAGAACCGGAACACAGGUGCUGCAUGGCUGUCGUCAGCUCGUGUCGUGAGAUGUUGGGUUAAGUCCCGCAACGAGCGCAACCCUUGUCAUUAGUUGCUACGAAGGGCACUCUAAUGAGACUGCCGGUGAUAAACCGGAGGAAGGUGGGGAUGACGUCAAGUCCUCAUGGCCCUUAUGGGUAGGGCUUCACACGUCAUACAAUGGUCGGGACAGAGGGUCGCCAACCCGCGAGAGGCCAAUCCAGAAACCCGAUCGUAGUCCGGAUCGCAGUCUGCAACUCGACUGCGUGAAGUCGGAAUCGCUAGUAAUCGCGGAUCAGCAUGUCGCGGUGAAUACGUUCCCGGGUCUUGUACACACCGCCCGUCACACCAUGGGAGUAGGUUUUACCAGAAGUAGUUAGCCUAACCGUAAGGAGGGCGAUUACCACGGUAGGAUUCAUGACUGGGAACGAAGUCGUAACAAGGUAG
rnacentral:rRNA from 1 species